GGAAAGCAGAACUGCCUGACUCAACAACCCAUGGAGAUAUGAGAAGUGAUGAGUUGUCAUUGUCGUCUUAAGCCACAAGGUUGUGGGGUGGCUUGUUCCCCAGCACUGGAAAACAAAACCUGCUGAGACUUGAUUUCCUGGACGUUGGCCCAGCCAUGGGAAGAAGUGAAAGGCAUUUGUGACAUGGAGGCAUGAGAUGGCCACGUCCAGAUCAGCGCAGCUGAAGAAGCUCAUUGCCAAGCAAGGAGACGGAUCACCAAAGACAUCAUUUUACUGCUACUUGGCCUGUGCUGUGUGGAAGCUGUAUCCAUCAAGGAUCUCCAGAGGAAGAGACCAGUGGAGUAAAGGCAUAUUAAAAGGAGAUUCCCUGGACUGGCUUGCACGGCACAAGCUAGGAGGUCCAGCUAUGGCUGUCUGCAUUCUGGAGAGUCUGGAAACCCAGUAGCUCCCCCAGUUCAUGAAGCUGAAAACCUCAGCAGUCCCAAUAUGACACUGAAAACCUUGAGGAUCCCUGGAGAGUCCCUGGUCUUUGGUCUACAUUUGAAGGCUGAGAAGGCUGGGUUCUGGUGUCUGCAAAGACAGUGGCAGCUACAGAGUAGAUGCACUCACCAGCAGGGAAUGAAGGUGAGCAGGUAAAGAACGGUACUGCUUUUCCCCUCCAACCUCUUCAAACUUGGGUCACAAUCAGGGAAAGCUGCCCACUCUAGAGAAGGGUUGUCUACACUCAGUUAAUUGUUCCAGGAAAUACUCUCACAGAACUACCCAGAGGUGUGUCUAUUAGUUAAUUCCAGAUCCAAUCAAGUUGAUAACCAAGAUGAACCAUUACAAAAGCAAAUGCAUACUCCCAUGCAGAUCCCCUUGAUCCAUAGGAAGCUGACUAGAAAAAAAGAAUGAAACCCGUAUAAGGCCUGGAGGAUGGGCAGGAGUUUACCCCCUCUCUGCUUGAUGCUAUUCCUAGAGACCAGAUUGCAUAUUAGAUACUGAGGUCAAUGGAAAGCUUUUAAGAUUGUUCCUUUCAUUAAAACUUUCCACCCAGAGGUUUUAGAUAAAUGAGAAAACUAAGCCUUAAAUUAAGAGCUAGUCAGAAGUUUAAAAAAAUCCCACAAUCUAUGUCAUAAUAAUUUUGCGUCUUAGGUGCAUUUUAUCAUGCUCAAAAUAUGUAUGGGGGGGGUGAGGCCCAGUAUAUAAUGCUUGCCUCACAUGCACAAGGACCCAGGUUCCAUCUCCAGCACUGCAAAACAAACAAGCAAGCAAGCAAACAAACAAAAAAUAGUGUGAAGAGGUAUGGCCCCCAUAGAUUCAUGAUGUGAGUGCUUGGCCCAUAGGGAGUGGCACUAUUAAAAGGUGUGGCCUUGUUGGAGGAAGUGUGUAAUUGUGGAGGUGGGAUUUGAAGUCUCAAGUUAGGCCUAGUGUCACAGUCUCCUGCUGCCUGCAAGAUGUGGGAU
rnacentral:lncRNA from 1 species